CUUCUAUAAAAAUGUUACGUCGCUGAUAUUGGGUGAAGAUAAGUGACGUUGCCAGCCCGCAAGUUUUAGUCAUGAAGAAUUUUGAAAAUAAUUCUUUCCAACCGAUAGCAGUUGUAAACAAGGUUCUAAUACAUAGUCGCCAUUGGCUAGUUCUUACCAUGAAGAUAUGCGAUUAUUACAACAGUCAACAAUACUAAACUUUACAUCAAGUAUACUGAUGAACUCCAAGCAUGGUCCUUUCAAGACGGUGAAACAAUUCUCAUUCUGUUUAAAAAAUAUUUUAAUUUUUAUGUGUUUGUAGUGCUAUUCCAUUUGGAUUUUGAAGGUAAAACGUCUUUGCUCAUUUAGUAAAAGUUCUCCUGGUCAAAAGUUCCUUAUAUUUACUUAUUCGGUAUUUUCUUUGAAGCUUUUGAACUUUUUGAUUUUCCCGCCUUUCCCGUCCACCAUUCAUCAACAAUGCAUAAUCUUUUCCUUUGAAUUUCUCUCAGGUUUUGCCGAGUGGUACUAGGUGUGUAAUAUUUCAUAACUGCACUCAAUUUAAUCUCAAAGCGUUUUUCAUAUCUCUCGUGGUGACGGUUCAGAAAGGUAAAUUUAAAUAUUUUGUACGACAUAUUACCAAUCCAUCAAAUGUUUGAUGACGUUCAACCAACAAAGUGUCUUACUUACAUGUGAGACAAAAGUCAGAAAACUGGCAGGGAAAUUCAACUGACAUGUUCUUAAAGUACUCAAAGUUAUAUUUUAUUUAUUUUGCUCCUCCGAGCUUAAAUUGAGUCAUUUUUAAAACAUUUUUUAUAGACUCGUAGUUUUGUGAUUUCGUAUACAAAAAAACUUGUUAGUUUUAUGCUAUUUUCUCAACAUGACAAAACACUCAGAAGUGCAAUACAUUUUUGUCAAAGAUUACCAAUGUCAUUCCACUAUAUAGUAAUUUCUACUUAAAACCCAUAACAAAAGCAUGUGUAAUCUAUUUUACUGAAUUAUAAAAAUUAUAAAGAAAAUCGUCAAGUAUUGAUUCAAUGUUACACAAAGUUACAUUUACUCAUGUUUAUCAUUAUCACGAAGAAAUUGGUUGGCUUUUUCAUGCAAAUCUUCAUAGGAACAUCCUUUUGGUAGAACUUGCAUCAUAAGCCAAGAUUUUGCUUUCAUACCAACCAACUCCCAUUCAUCUUUAACAGUGGAUAAUUGAAGGUCCAGGUUGCAUCCUCUCUCCAGAUACAAUGAACUCAGCAGCACCUUUGCCAGCUUGUGCAAUGCCUUUCACUAAAGUUGUUGAUGCACCAGAGCCGAUACCAAAAGAAAAA